rnacentral:rRNA from 1 species
UACGAAGGGGGCUAGCGUUGCUCGGAAUCACUGGGCGUAAAGGGUGCGUAGGCGGGUUUUUAAGCAGAGGUGAAAUCCUGGAGCUCAACUCCAGAACUGCCUUUGAUACUGAAAGUCUUGAGUAUGGGAGAGGUGAGUGGAACUGCGAGUGUAGAGGUGAAAUUCGUAGAUAUUCGCAAGAACACCAGUGGCGAAGGCGGCUCACUGG